AUGAGUCCAGUCAGAGGCCCUCCCAGCAGAGGGAUAAGCCAGGCAGCAGGGCCUCAAAUGGAAGGGAGACCUGUAGGUGUUGGGAUGGACCUCAGCCGUGGUCCUGGAAGAGGAUUUAGGAGCAGCCAGGGAAAAAGGAGGCUAAAGGGAGUGAUGCAUUUAAGUCGUGUGGCAGUCAGUGCCCACAAACCUGUAGGAAGAGCUGAGUCUGCUCGUUCCCGGUGGAAGAGAGCAAAGAUAUUCCCGAUGAUCCUGCAGAAAGUGAAAGGUAGGAAAGAUUCCAGCUAUGCCAAGCUGCUGUCGGCUCGCCAAGCGGACGGGGACAAACCCAUGAUGAUCAGGGGAAGCUACUUCCAGAAAUCCACGGAUGACAGGCCCUCCAUGAGGAAACUAAACCACGUGUUGAAGCGCAUCAGCGUCUCCAGGAAAUUCCAGGAGGGCCUUGGCAAGGAUUUGGCGCGUGGAGAGGAAGGGUCUGAAAGGGAGGAAGCCAAGUCGGGGGUUUCGAUCAGUAUCACGGCAGACAGCGAGCAGUCGGACAGCGACUACGAGAGGAGGACGAGGAGGAGGAGGCGCACCUCGGAUGAGUCCUCUGAGAAGAGCAGCAGCUCCGGCUCCGAGUCGGAAGACAAAGACUACUUGAAAAUAACCCUGGAUCAGGAUGAGGCCACGGAAAGCACCGUGGACUCGGAUGAGGAAACGGGGGAUUUGGGGGAUUCCGAUGACGAGUCUGAAUCCAGCUCCAGCAGUGAGUCAGAGGAGGACUCGUCAGAAGAGGACGAUGAUGAGGUAGACUCUGAGAGCGAUGAAGAUGGCAGCAUGUCCAAGAGCUCAUCCUCACGGAGCUCCUACAGCAGGACCAGUGAGUCCAGCAGCAGGAGAAGCACGGAAAUGUCCAGUGUGAAAAGCUGGGCAGGCAGCUCCCGUGGCAAAUGCUCCAGCCAGAAAUCCGUGAGCUCUACCACCUCAGGUAGCGACAGGGACACGAGCUACAGGAGAACCUCAGGAUCCAGCUACAAGAGCAAAACCUCCUCUGCCAGCGUGGAAAUAGAGGACACCAUAGAAGAGGUGUCAGAAGAAGAGGAAGAGGCAGAGGAGACAGCAGAUAACUCAAACAGGGCGGAUUCUAAAACUGCCAAGGCAAAAGCUGCUGCUGCUGGAGAGGGCAAGGGAGGACAAUCAGCUGUUCCUGGUGAGGAGAGCGAGGAGGAAAGUGCAGAGGAGGUUGAUCCAGAGGACAGUGACAGGGAGGACACUGCCAGUAAGAAUGAAUCUUCUUGCCUAGACAGUGAAAUCAGCGCGACUUCCAAAGGUACCACAGGGGCAAAAAGCUCAGGCAGUGCCACGUCGGGGAAAACCACCACGUCCCCUGGGACUGAGACUCAGAGCUCUGACACCAACAGGAAAGGAGCGAAAUCACAGAAAAAGGUGUCCCAGGAAAGCAGCCAGUCCCAGGGUACUGGAACUGCGGAGUCAGAGGCCACGGGUGACUCCACCUCCUUCUAA
rnacentral:lncRNA from 1 species